GAUGAACGCUAGCUACAGGCUUAACACAUGCAAGUCGAGGGGAAACGACAUCGAAAGCUUGCUUUUGAUGGGCGUCGACCGGCGCACGGGUGAGUAACGCGUAUCCAACCUGCCCAUCACUUGGGGAUAACCUUGCGAAAGUAAGACUAAUACCCAAUGAUAUCUCUAGAAGACAUCUGAAAGAGAUUAAAGAUUUAUCGGUGAUGGAUGGGGAUGCGUCUGAUUAGCUUGUUGGCGGGGUAACGGCCCACCAAGGCAACGAUCAGUAGGGGUUCUGAGAGGAAGGUCCCCCACAUUGGAACUGAGACACGGUCCAAACUCCUACGGGAGGCAGCAGUGAGGAAUAUUGGUCAAUGGGCGAGAGCCUGAACCAGCCAAGUAGCGUGCAGGAAGACGGCCCUAUGGGUGGUAAACUGCUUUUAUAAGGGAAUAAAGUGAGAGUCGUGACUCUUUUUGUAUGUACCUGAUGAAUAAGGACCGGCUAAUUCCGUG
rnacentral:rRNA from 1 species